rnacentral:rRNA from 1 species
CAGCUCGUGUCGUGAGAUGUUGGUUAAGUCCGCAACGAGCGCAACCCUUAUCAUUAGUUGCUAACAUUCAGUUGAGAACUCUAAUGAGACUGCCAGUGAUAAACUGGAGGAAGGUGGGGAUGACGUCAAAUCAUCAUGCCCCUUAUGACCUGGGCUACACACGUGCUACAAUGGCCGGUACAAAGAGUUGCGAAACUGUGAAGUUAAGCUAAUCUCAUAAAGCCGGUCUCAGUUCGGAUUGUAGUCUGCAACUCGACUACAUGAAGUCGGAAUCGCUAGUAAUCGCGAAUCAGAAUGUCGCGGUGAAUACGUUCUCGAGUCUU